rnacentral:rRNA from 1 species
GGAGGAAAAGAAACUAACAAGGAUUCCCCUAGUAACGGCGAGUGAAGCGGGAAGAGCUCAAAUUUGAAAUCUGGUAGCCUUCGGUUGCCCGAGUUGUAAUCUAGAGAAGUGUUUUCCGCGUUGGCCCAUGUACAAGUCCCUUGGAACAGGGCGUCAUAGAGGGUGAGAAUCCCGUCCUUGACAUGGACCCCCAAUGCUUUGUGAUACACUUUCAACGAGUCGAGUUGUUUGGGAAUGCAGCUCAAAAUGGGUGGUGAAUUCCAUCUAAAGCUAAAUAUUGGCGAGAGACCGAUAGCGAACAAGUACCGUGAGGGAAAGAUGAAAAGCACUUUGGAAAGAGAGUUAAACAGUACGUGAAAUUGUUGAAAGGGAAACGAUUGAAGUCAGUCAUGCUCUUUGGAUUAAGCCGUUCUGCGGUGUAUUUCAUUGAGCGGGGUCAACAUCAGUUUUGAUCGCUGGAAAAGGGCAGGAGGAAGGUAGCACUCUCGGGUGAACUUAUAGCCUCUUGUCGUAUACAGUGAUUGGGACUGAGGAACGCAGCAUGCCUUUUGGCCGGGAUUCGUCCACGUACAUGCUUAGGAUGUUGACAUAAUGGCUUUAAACGACCCGUCUAA